rnacentral:rRNA from 1 species
UACGGGGGAGCAAGCGUUGUUCGGAUUUACUGGGCGUAAAGGGCGCGUAGGCGGUCAGCACAAGUCAAUUGUGGAAUCUCCGAGCUUAACUCGGAAAGGUCAACUGAAACUGUGCGACUAGAGUGCGGAAGGGGCUAACUGGAAUUCUUGGUGUAGCGGUGAAAUGCGUAGAGAUCGGGAGGAAGGCCGGUGGCGAAGGCGGCGCUCUGGAACCAUUUCUGACGCUGAGGCUCGGAA